GUAGGUGGCAAGCGUUGUCCGGAAUUAUUGGGCGUAAAGCGCGCGCAGGCGGUUCUUUAAGUCUGAUGUGAAAGCCCACGGCUCAACCGUGGAGGGUCAUUGGAAACUGGAGAACUUGAGUACAGAAGAGGAAAGCGGAAUUCCACGUGUAGCGGUGAAAUGCGCAGAGAUGUGGAGGAACACCAGUGGCGAAGGCGGCUUUCCGGUCUGUAACUGACGCUGAGGCGCGAAAGCGUGGGGAGCAAACAGGGUUAGAUACCCUGGUAGUCCACGCCGUAAACGAUGAGUGCUAAGUGUUAGGGGGUUUCCGCCCCCUUAGUGCUGCAGCUAACGCAUUAAGCACUCCGCCUGGGGAGUACGGCCGCAAGGCUG
rnacentral:rRNA from 1 species